ensembl:snRNA U1 U1 spliceosomal RNA
AUACUUACCUGGCAGAGGAAACACCGUGAUCAAGAAGGUGGUUUUCCCAGGGCGAGGCUCACUUAUUGCACUGCGGGUGUGCUGAUCUCUGCGAUUUCCCCAAAUGCGGGAAACUCGACUGCAUAAUUUGUAGUAGUGGGGGACUGCGUUCGCGCUCUCCCCUG